GUAAACGUGAGGAGCAUAUCAAAAAUAUCGCCUGCCAUUUCAUCUUUGUGCUGUUGCAAAGACAUUGUGAAAGCAGUCAUAUUAAAACCAGGAAUCCGAUCGAGCAAUUUCUCUUCAAUGUAUUUCUCUAUUAAGGAGAUAUAUUCAUUAAAAAUAGAAGUGUAGAUGAGCUUGUUUUCUUCUGAGUCAUCGAACUCCUGGUAGUGCUUCUCCAUAAAAGUCCUCUGUAUGGACUGGAAGUCAUCAUCCAUGAUGAUAUCCUCCAGGUACCCAACGACAGCGUCAAACUCUGCAUCAGAUGGGGAGGAGACGGCUACACCAAAGUUCUCCUCCUCUGAGGUCUCCAUCCCUCCUGCAUAACGCGCCGGCCCGGAGCACAGACAACGUCCCGUACCGCAGCUAGCUGCG
rnacentral:lncRNA from 1 species